CCCCAAUGAGGAAGAAUUCCCAUGAAAAAGAUAGGAAGUGCCGUCUGACACUUUAAACAAACAGUUAC
rfam:Beta vulgaris subsp. vulgaris chromosome 9, whole genome shotgun sequence.